GGCUUAUCUGUGAUGUAAAAAUAAAUGUCUGAACAUAUGAAUGCAACAAUGAUUUUCGUAUUUUACUGAGAUAAGCU
ensembl:snoRNA